AAGGCAUAAGGGAGCUUGACUGCGAGACCUACAAGUCGAGCAGGGUCGAAAGACGGACUUAGUGAUCCGGUGGUUCCGCAUGGAAGGGCCAUCGCUCAACGGAUAAAAGCUACCCCGGGGAUAACAGGCUUAUCUCCCCCAAGAGUUCACAUCGACGGGGAGGUUUGGCACCUCGAUGUCGGCUCAUCGCAUCCUGGGGCUGUAGUCGGUCCCAAGGGUUGGGCUGUUCGCCCAUUAAAGCGGUACGCGAGCUGGGUUCAGAACGUCGUGAGACAGUUCGGUCCCUAUCCGUCGUGGGCGUAGGAAAUUUGAGAGGAGCUGUCCUUAGUACGAGAGGACCGGGAUGGACAUACCUCUGGUGUACCAGUUGUCGUGCCAACGGCAUAGCUGGGUAGCUAUGUGUGGACGGGAUAAGUGCUGAAAGCAUCUAAGCAUGAAGCCCCCCUCAAGAUGAGAUUUCCCAACUUCGGUUAUAAGAUCCCUCAAAGAUGAUGAGGUUAAUAGGUUCGAGGUGGAAGCAUGGUGACAUGUGGAGCUGACGAAUACUAAUCGAUCGAAGACUUAAUCAAAUU
rnacentral:rRNA from 1 species